rnacentral:rRNA from 2 species
ACUUUCAACAACGGAUCUCUUGGUUCUGGCAUCGAUGAAAGAACGCAGCGAAAAUGCGAUAAGUAAUGUGAAUUGCAGAAUUCAGUGAAUCAUCGAAUCUUUGAACGCACAUUGCGCCCAUUAGUAUUCUAGUGGGCAUGCCUGUUCGAGCGUCAUUUCAACCC